GGUCUUGAGAGGAGGGCAGGAGGAAUAGAGGUCCGGCCUGCUCUGGCGUCGGCGUCGCAGGUGAGGCAGGCUGGAUCCCAAGACGCGGCGGCGGGGGACGAGGGNUCCUAUACGGAGCAAUACUACUAGCAAUACCUUUGCGUGCGGACAUACAACCAUCUAACAGAAGGGCAUGAGCAAGCGCGCUGGAUCUUAUAGAAAAGUCGUUUAUACCUUCUUAUGCCCUUCACCUUAACUUCGCGCUGAUACGUAAGUAACUUAUGUCACUAGGAGCACUACGACUACUACGGGCUAUGUUAGAUCUACCGUCCCUACAACUACCCUCGGCGUAAUAACAACUCAAACGAUUUCCCCAAGGUGCACCAAGACCACCAAGUGCUCUUGCACUUAUACACCCUUCUCCGGGAGGAGGUCCUUGUCCGGCAACAAAGUUGACACCAUAACUACCAGUGACCCGGUCCCUGACGUUCCGACCACUGACCUUCUUGUUUACGAUGGCGACACCUCUUUCCCCGGUAUAUCUUUCUUUAACGGUCUUAUCAGGCUCCUCAGAGUCCGCACUCUCUUCGAUAAGUGCCAGGGGUAGAGGUGCAGCACCUGCCCGGGCGUCAGCCUCGAUGUCGUCUUCGGCAUCAAUGUCGGCUAGAUCCAGGUCUAGAAUAAGACUUAGAGGGUCUCCCGCGGCGUGUCUCGCACUACUCUCCUCUAGUUCCUCGUAGUCGAUGUCGUCCUCGGGGUCCGCUAGUGAGAGGGGUCUUCGAUUCCUUUACCUAGCGUCGGGGUGUGGACUAGCGUCAGCCUCGGGGUCCGCUAGGUAGAGUGGACAUCGUUUCCUAUUACCACUAUCGGGAGCCCCGUCCCUAUUCUCGUCCUCGGGAAGACUACCGAUGGCGUCGGGACACCGGUUACCCGCGUCAGGUUCGGGACGAUUGUUACCGUUAGGGUCAGGAUGGUCCCUGUUGUUCCCGUCAGGUUCGGGCUCCCAGUUGUUACCAUCGGGAUCAGGGUUCCCGUUACCGCUACCACCGUCGGGUUCAGGUUCCCCGUUACCACUGCUACUACCGGCAGCGCCGAGUCCGAGUGGAUCUCCUUCUUCGCACAGAGGGACUUUGUACCUUGGUAAAAGGUAAAAGACGAGCGAUGUACACCAACACUGUCAUGUAAAGUUCAAAUUCUGCAAACAGUCACUUAAAGGAUGGACAAAGAACUUGGACAAUAAAUCAAGGACCUGCUGAGUCUUCCAAACAAUGAUACCAAUAAUACAACACGCAUUACCUAACUAUUAUGAUAAGUCAUCGUAUUCCUAUA
rnacentral:rRNA from 1 species